rnacentral:misc_RNA from 1 species
AAGUCGUAACAAGGUUUCCGUAGGUGAACCUGCGGAAGGAUCAUUACAAAAAUCAGAGGCGUUCCCCCCCGCGGGGACCGCCUUGGCAGCUGGGGGGGAAACCCCCAACUGUUAACCCUUUGUGAAAACCCCCUGUUGCCUCGGCGGCACUCCCUGCCGCGCCGGCGUUCAUGCGCUGCGCGUGGGGGGGAGGUCAGCCCGCCGGCGGCACCCAACAAAACCCAUAACCAUUUUGAAGAAGCUGUCUGAAACCUAAAGUCGAAUGACUAUAAAACUUUCAACAACGGAUCUCUUGGUUCCC